CACCACCAUGCAACCAUUCUCACUUCAGAGUUCUCUACUGUGGGAUAAUGCUCCAGGGAGCAUUAUCGAAAUGGAAAAUGAACCGCCACUCUGUAAAUAACUGGAAUACUCCAAUAUUUCUCAAGAUGGGACUCUCUGGAACUAAAAGAGAAGCUCAAUUUUCCUGGCCGGGCCA
rnacentral:lncRNA from 1 species